GAUCUCAAUAAACCUCCGGUAGAUAGGGGAGGGCGCGGGACAUAUGCCUGUUUACCUCUGUUAAACACCAGGCGUCCCCGUCCUCCGUCACCUGUCACCUGUCACCUGUGUUUAUGAGCAUGUCAGUGUAGUUGGUUAUUUGUGUUUUUUGGUAUUUGAAUUAAUAAAUUACAGAUGUCAUACAUUAUUCAAGCAUUUUAUACACAGUCAUAUUAUUGAAAAUAUUUUACCCUAUUUCAGAUUGAUGAAAUUAUUGCAGAUCAUUUUAUUUUGAUUAUAAAGAAAUCUCCUAUUAAUUUCAUAUUUUUUUUAACAGUACUGUUUUCCAGGCAGAUAUAAAGCUUUCCAUGUCAUAGCAGAAAGCAAAUUGUUCCAAAUAGCAUGGGCCAUUGUCUAUCCAUUGCUGACUUCAAAACUCAAGAAACGCUUUAUAUUACACGGAAGUGACUUAUCUCCGCUUUUGGAUUAUAUACACCCUGAAGUUUUACCUGAAGAAUUUGGAGGAAAAGCUGGACCAUUUGAUAAUGAUUCGUGGAAAGACAUUAUUGAUGGAAAUAUUAAUAAAAUGUUAGACAUGCUCAAUUAUGGUUAUAAAGAUUAAAUAUUUUUUUUUUGUCUUAGCUACCGCAAUUUCUGUAUACCUUCAUAUACACGUGUAUAUUUAAUUUGGACUUCUGUGUAAUGAGAUGUUACAAAACAGUUAUCUAAAAUCACUAAUAUACAGUGUACAGUGUUGUUUCUGUUAUAUUAUUCGAAAUACUAUAUAGAAAUUUUUAUAUUACUUAUAUUAUGUGUAAAAAUUAAAAUAUUGUUGUAGUUUGUUCUUGAUGUAUCUAAGAAUCUUUUUUUUGAAUUUCCAGAAAUUAUAAACUGAGUACAAUUCCCUCUCCUUUUGUUGUCAUAUAAAGUGAAAAAGAGGAA